rnacentral:rRNA from 1 species
UGAGCAACCUACCGAACUGUGGGGGAUAGCCGGCCUAACGGCCGAGUAAUACCGCAUACGCUCUCAGAGAGGCAUUUCUUUGAGAGGAAACCUACGGGACAGAUCGAGGGGCUCGCGGCCUAUCAGCUGGUUGGUGAGGUAACGGCCCACCAAGGCGACGACGGGUAGCCGGCCUGAGAGGGCGAUCGGCCACACUGGGACUGAGAUACGGCCCAGACUCCUACGGGAGGCAG